rnacentral:lncRNA from 1 species
UUGGUAGAUAGGUGAUAAUCAAAUGUCCGAGAGUGCUGUAUUUAGUAAACCCAUUUCGUUCCUCUCCACAGUUUAAUUAUAUGGGCACAGCAGGGACGGAGAUGAAAUGAAUAAGCCUCACAAGUUAAUAGCAGCUUGAACUUCAGAAAUGGAUUUCCUUGUGCUGUUUACACUGGCUCCUCACUGUAAGUGUGUCCUCAACUCCCUGGUAUUCCAAGACUUGUGAAAUGACUCAUGAUAAUGGCAACUGCAGUAGGAAGCUGGUCGCCUCCAUGUUUCUAGAGACCCCAGACUCUGAUGACUACUUUAGGGAUGUGGUGAUCCCAAGAAUUCAAACUACAGAAGCCUUCAUCUUUGCUGGGUAAAGAAUUUUCAGGUGUGGCCUGUUGGGGAAACACAUCCAUACCAUGGAAGAAAUUUUAGCAGCACAGCCUCCUCCUCAACAUGAACAAAUCAGUGAGACCCUCUUGCCUGUGACUGAUCGCCAGAGGAGUGAGGAGGAUCACAUCUGUGCUGCCGAGAAGAUCGCACAUCUGAGGGACUUCAAAAUUCUUCCAUGGAUAGAAACCUGUGUCUCUCUACAUACUUUAGAUGUGAGAAGAACAGCUAUGUCUUGGGUGACCAAGAGGCUGGAAUGAGUUCUGAUUCGCUUUGCAUUCCUGGUGCCUGGCAUAGGGCAGACACCUGCAGACCCUG